rnacentral:tRNA from 1 species
GAGGAUAUAGCUCAGUGGUAGAGUGCGUGCUUAGAGUGCACAAGGUUCUGGGUUCAAUCCUCAGUACCUCU